CCUACGGGUGGCAGCAGUAGGGAAUUUUCGUCAAUGGGCGCAAGCCUGAACGAGCGAUGCCGCGUGAGUGAAGAAGGCCUUCGGGUCGUAAAGCUCUGUUGCGGGGGAAAAAAGGCAGCAUCAGGAAAUGGGUGCUGACUGAUGGUGCCCCGACAGAAAGUCAAGGCUAACUCCGUGCCAGCCGCCACGGUAAUCCGUAGGUGGCGAGCGUUAUCCGGAAGGAUUGUGAGUAAAGGGCGCGCAGUCGGUCCUGCAAGUCUGGAGUGUAACGAAUGAGCUCAACUCAUGCAUGGCUUGGGAAACUGGAGGACUGGAGAGCAGGAGAGGGCGGUGGAACUCCAGGUGUAGCGGUAAAAUGCGUAGAUAUAUGGAAGAACUCCAGUGGCGAAGGCGGCCGCCUGGCCUGUUGCUGACGCUGAGGCACGAAAGCGUGGGGAGCAAAUAGGAUUAGAUACCCGUGUAGUC
rnacentral:rRNA from 1 species